AACGAACGCUGGCGGCAGGCCUAACACAUGCAAGUCGAGCGCUCACCUUCGGGUGGGAGCGGCGCACGGGUGAGUAACACGUGGGAACCUACCUUGAAGUACGGAAUAACUGAGGGAAACUUCAGCUAAUACCGUAUACGCCCUACGGGGGAAAGAUUUAUCGCUUCAGGACGGGCCCGCGUUGGAUUAGCUAGUUGGUGAGGUAACGGCUCACCAAGGCAACGAUCCAUAGCUGAUUUGAGAGAAUGAUCAGCCACACUGGGACUGAGACACGGCCCAGACUCCUACGGGAGGCAGCAGUGGGGAAUAUUGGACAAUGGGCGCAAGCCUGAUCCAGCCAUGCCGCGUGAGUGAUGAAGGCCUUCGGGUUGUAAAGCUCUUUCAGAUGGGACGAUGAUGACGGUACCAUCAGAAGAAGCCCCGGCUAACUUCGUGCCAGCCGCCGCGGUAAAAC
rnacentral:rRNA from 1 species